UUAUCAUAAAAUAUAUAUUAGCUUACUUAUAUAUAAAAUAACUAAAUAAGAAUGGUUAUUCCAAGUGAUUCACCAACUAUGAAACUGUAUAGUUCAGGAUUUUUACCUUCCCAAAAAACCCUGAAAGGAAUAGUGGCUGGUGGCUUUACAGGAGGUAUUGAAAUAUGCAUAACAUUCCCAACUGAAUUUGUUAAAACACAACUCCAGUUGGAUGAAAAAUCUAUCAAACCAAGAUACUCAGGCAUAAUUGAUUGUGUGAAACAAACGGUCGAUUCUCAUGGUGUCAAGGGUUUAUAUAGAGGACUGAGUGUUCUGCUUUAUGGAUCAAUUCCUAAAUCAGCUGUAAGAUUUGGUUCUUUUGAAGCCUUGAAAAACCAUUUCUCGGACCCGGUUACUGGUAACCUUACGCCAUCUAAGAGAUUCUUUUGUGGAAUGGGAGCCGGUGUUAGCGAGGCCAUCCUCGUCGUUACCCCCAUGGAAACGGUCAAGGUAAAAUUCAUAGAUGACAUUCAGAACCCUGCCGGACCCAAGUUCAAAGGCUUUUUUCACGGCGUGGGAACUAUAAUAAAGACUCAAGGUUUUGGUGGAAUUUAUCAGGGCUUGACGGCCACCAUAAUCAAGCAAGGCAGCAACCAGGCUAUUCGAUUCUUCGUAGUGGAAACUCUCAAAGAUUGGUACCGAGGUGGAGAUUCAAAAAAAAAGGUGAACAAGCUCAUUACCGGAUGUUUUGGCGCAGUGGCGGGAGCCGCUUCAGUCUUUGGUAAUAAUCCCGUCGAUGUGGUUAAAACUAGAAUGCAGACUCUUGUUAAAGACGCUAAGAUGGGGACGCCUUCCAAACGCUAUGCUUUGAAUGGGAAGCAUCCGUCAUUAGAGGACGUAUGACCUUCUCUAAUGGAGGAAAUAUUUGUUUAGGCUGCUUGCAUAUAAAGAGAUUUCUGUUUAAUCAUUAAAUAUUUAAGGUUUAACACCUGAUUUCUUUUUGCAUACAAUUUGAAUAUUUAAAUUAAUAUUUUAUUUUUGAAAAAUAUUUAAUUUUAAAUAAUUUUAAACCAUUAUUCAGAGUUUAGAAGCUAGUAAGUACAAGAGUACAUUUGACUGCGCUCUCAAAAUAGUUAAACACGAAGGAAUAGCGGCGUUUUAUAAAGGCACUGUCCCUAGACUCAGCCGAGUUUGCUUAGACGUGGGGAUAACCUUCAUGAUUUACGAUAC